AUGGGAGAUGCUUGCAUUUCCUGAUGGCGACCGGCGCACGGGCGAGUAACGCGUAUCCAACCUGCCCCUUACUCCGGCACAGCCCGUCGAAAGGCGGAUUAAUGCGGGAUGCAGUCAGAGAGAUGCAUAUAUGUCUGACGAAAGGAAUUGUCCGGUAAGGGAUGGGGGAUGCGUCCGAUUAGCUUGACGGCGGGGGUAACGGCCCACCGUGGCUACGAUCGGUAGGGGGUUCUGAGAGGAAGGUCCCCCCACAUUGGAACUGAGACACGGUCCAAAACCC
rnacentral:rRNA from 1 species